rnacentral:rRNA from 1 species
UACGGAGGAUGCAAGUGUUAUCCGGAAUCACUGGGCGUAAAGCGUCUGUAGGUGGUCAAAUAAGUCAACUGUGAAAUCUUGAGGCUCAACCUCAAAACCGCAGUCGAAACUAUUAGACUAGAGUAUAGUAGGGGUAAAGGGAAUUUCCAGUGGAGCGGUGAAAUGCGUAGAGAUUGGAAAGAACACCGAUGGCGAAGGCACUUUACUGGGCUAUGACUAACACUCAGAGACGAAAGCUAGGAUAGCAAAUGGG